rnacentral:misc_RNA from 1 species
UUAAGUUCAGCGGGUAUUCCUACCUGAUCCGAGGUCAACCUUGAGAUUUUAAGGGGGGGGUUUUACGGCAGGCGCCCGCCGCUGCUACCGGAGCGAGAAGUGUGCUACUACGCUCGGUGCUACGGCGAGCCCGCCACUGGAUUCAGGGCCUGCGGCAGCCGCAGGUCCCCAACACAAGCCGGGGGCUUGAUGGUUGAAAU